GUGGGGAAUUUUGGACAAUGGGCGCAAGCCUGAUCCAGCAAUGCCGCGUGUGUGAAGAAGGCCUUCGGGUCGUAAAGUUCUGUCUUUAGGGACGAAUGGGUAUGCGCAAAUAGUGUAUGCUUUGACGGUACCUUAGGAGGAAGCUCCGGCUAACUACGUGCCAGCAGCCGCGGUAAUACGUAGGGAGCAAGCGUUGUCCGGAAUUACUGGGCGUAAAGGGCGCGUAGGCGGGAAUGCAAGUCAGAUGUGAAAACUCCGGGCUCAACUUGGAGAUUGCAUUUGAAACUGUGUUUCUUGAGGGCAGGAGAGGAAAGUGGAAUUCCUAGUGUAGCGGUGAAAUGCGUAGAUAUUAGGAGGAACACCAGUGGCGAAGGCGACUUUCUGGACUGUACCUGACGCUGAGGCGCGAAAGCGUGGGUAGCAAACGGGAUUAGAAACCCUUGUAGUCC
rnacentral:rRNA from 1 species